CACAAGGCCAAGACCAGCUUGUUUGGAGUUUAGGUAGUUUGUGUUGAUGACCUUUGAAAUGGAAGUAGAUGGUUCUGUACUGAAUCAGUCGUUCUCAGCCCCCAGAGGAAGGGCAGGCCUGUGAUUUUAUAGGCCGGGUAACACCUCCCACAACUACUGCUCCACCUACCAGCUCAGCCUUCUGUAUAUAUAGCGGAGAUUCCUUGCACUCAGGCUGCAUAAAAAUUUAAAGUGCCGGGUGCAUUCAGGAAUGGUCACCAAAUGUAAAUAUAUCUGUAGGUAAGCUUGCACUCGCAGUCUUCUCAAUGUUUAAAGAU